AGGACGAACGCUGGCGGCGCGCCUAACGACAUGCAAGUCGAGCGAGAACCAGGGCUUGCCCUGGGGACAGCGGCGAACGGGUGCGUAACACGUGAGCAACCUGCCCCAAAGACCGGGACAACCCGAGGAAACUCGGACUAAUACCGGAUGCCCUCACCGGGCCGCAUGGUCUGGUGAGGAAAUGGAUUCCGCUUUGGGAUGGGCUCGCGGUCUAUCAGCUUGUUGGUGGGGUAACGGCCUACCAAGGCGACGACGGAUAGCUGGUCUGAGAGGACGAUCAGCCACACUGGGACUGAGACACGGCCCAGACUCCUACGGGAGGCAGCAGUGGGGAAUCUUGCGCAAUGGGGGAAACCCUGACGCAGCGACGCCGCGUGCGGGGUGAAGGCCUUCGGGUUGUAACCGCUUUCAGCAGGGACGAAUUGACGGUACCUGCAGAAGAAGGCCCGGCCAACUACGCGCCAGCAGCCGC
rnacentral:rRNA from 1 species